UUCCAGGAGAAACUGAGAGACAACAUAGCAAUAGUAAUAGCAACAACAACAACAACAAUAAUGCAGAAGUUUAACUUAAUUCUUUCAGUGCUACGGUGCUUUUCCUGUGAGUUCCUGGCUUUCCAAUACAGAGUUCCGUAUUUAUUGGGAUUAAACAAGGUAUUUAGUUUGUCAGCAGCAAAGAUGUUAUGCAACCAAGUGGACAUUUGAAAGAAGUAGAGGAAAGGUCAUUGCAGCAGCAGAUUGGAACAGAAAUAGCAAGAGCUAUAGAAAGGCAAUUGAUCAGUUGAUGAAGUCAUGGUGCCUUAUGUCUGUACAGUGAGAGCUUUCGGAGAGAUUGAGAAUUCUCUGCAGUUGAAUGUAAUUCAAAUACAAAAUUAAAAAAAAGAAGACCAGUUAAAGAUGAACACAUGUAAAUGAACAUGGAAAACAGAUUGGUGUGGGACAUGAAAGAGAAUUAGCACAGCCCAGAGAAAAUACAUGGUGACCGGUGUGGAAAUAAAUGAAGACCAAUCGAAUGAGAACA
rnacentral:lncRNA from 1 species